UACGUAGGGCGCAAGCGUUGUCCGGAAUUAUUGGGCGUAAAGGGCUCGUAGGCGGUUUGUCGCGUCGGGUGUGAAAUCCACUGGCUUAACUGGUGGCUUGCUUUCGAUACGGGCAGACUGGAGGUAUGCAGGGGAGAACGGAAUUCCUGGUGUAGCGGUGAAAUGCGCAGAUAUCAGGAGGAACACCGGUGGCGAAGGCGGUUCUCUGGGCAUGUCCUGACGCUGAGGAGCGAAAGUGUGGGGAGCGAACAGG
rnacentral:rRNA from 1 species